rnacentral:lncRNA from 12 species
UAGCCAGGUGCUGGAAAGAACAGGAAUUGGGAGCAGGUCUCACCUGGGCUCCCAUGGUGGCUCCAAUACCAAGGGAGAUGGCAUCAUUCUCAAGGAAGGUCCCUUGGCAUCACCUGCUGCAAGAUCACUUGGCACCACACCUAGCCCUCUUCUGUCUUAGAAGUGUCUGGGCAGUGAGAGACCUUUAAGCUCUUACAGACUGGAGCUGUGUUGUUUCCGGAGUCUCAGGUCAGUAGUUGGAUUUCAGUAACCCCUACUUUCGGUUAUUUUGUGACCUUUGGUGAGGCAGGUACUGCUUUCUCUUCCCAGCCUCAGGGAAGGGAGAUGCAAUUCAGAGAACAAAAGAAGCAAAUUCUUGCCUUUUGAGUUUAAAAGAAGAAAUAGAUGAACAGAUAGGGCCUCCGUGGUUCUCAGGUCUGGGAAAGCGCCCCCAGGGAAGAAAAGAGAGUUUAGGC